rnacentral:rRNA from 1 species
AUUGAACGCUGGCGGCAGGCUUAACACAUGCAAGUCGAGCGGAGAUGAGGUGCUUGCACCUUAUCUUAGCGGCGGACGGGUGAGUAAUGCUUAGGAAUCUGCCUAUUAGUGGGGGACAACAUUCCGAAAGGAAUGCUAAUACCGCAUACGUCCUACGGGAGAAAGCAGGGGAUCUUCGGACCUUGCGCUAAUAGAUGAGCCUAAGUCGGAUUAGCUAGUUGGUGGGGUAAAGGCCUACCAAGGCGACGAUCUGUAGCGGGUCUGAGAGGAUGAUCCGCCACACUGGGACUGAGAUACGGCCCAGACUCCUACGGGAGGCAGCAGUGGGGAAUAUUGGACAAUGGGGGGAACCCUGAUCCAGCCAUGCGCGUGUGUGAAGAAGGCCUUAUGGUUGUAAAGCACUUUAAGCGAGGAGGAGGCUACUGAGACUAAUACUCUUGGAUAGUGGACGUUACUCGCAGAAUAAGCACCGGCUAACUCUGUGCCAGCCGCCGCAGUAA